UACGUAGGGGGCAAGCGUUGUCCGGAUUUAUUGGGCGUAAAGAGCGUGUAGGCGGCCAUACAGGUCAGCUGUGAAAACUCGAGGCUCAACCUCGAGACGUCGGUUGAAACCGUAUGGCUAGAGUCCGGAAGAGGAGAGUGGAAUUCCCGGUGUAGCGGUGAAAUGCUUAGAUAUGACAUAGAACACCAAUUGCGCAGGCAGCUUACUACACAGUAAUUGACACUGAGGCACGAAAGCGUGGGGAUCAAACAGG
rnacentral:rRNA from 1 species